GCCCCAGUGAGAUAUCGUAGCCAAUGAGGUUUAACCGAGGUGCGAUUAUUGCUUAUUGAAAACUUUUCCCAAAAAACUUGGAUGUUAAAUAUUUUUAAAAUGAAUUGCUAAAUUUUACUCGUCAGUAA